rnacentral:rRNA from 1 species
UCAUUAACGAGUCCGACUCGACGACCACGAGGGGGGGGGGGAGGUCCUCGGGGACCCCCUCCCUUCUCGUGCGGUCGAGUGCUUCUCCUUUCCUGUGCACCCAUCGUAGGUCCUUCGGAUCUACGUCGACCUCUCGAACGUUCAUGGACUGUGUGUGACGUGCGUCCGACGCACGAAGGACAACUUUCAGCGACGGAUCUCUUGGCUCUCGCAUCGAUGAAGGACGCAGCGAAUCGCGAUAAGUAAUGUGAAUUGCAAAUCUUCCGUGAAUCAUCGAAUCUUUGAACGCACCUUGCGCUCCUCGGCAUUCCGAGGAGCAUGCCUGUCUGAGCGUCGCGAUAUCCUCGAACCCGAGGGGAUCCUUUGGGUUCGGAACUUUGGGGGUUGCGGGCACGUCCUCGCGGACGGUCGGCUCUCCUGAAACACAUCAGCGGAAAGGAUGGCAUCGCGACGGAGCGUGACCUUCCCCUCGACGUCGUAAGGAUCGUCGUGGGGCUCGUGAUCGCGAGCGAUGGCGUCCGUGUCUCAGGCUUCCAGUCACACGUGUCUCAGGUUUCGGCCUCAGAUCAGGCAGGGCUACCCGCUGAACUUAAGCAUAUCAU